UUCACCCACAUGGUUACCAACUGGUCGCCUUCGCGCCACUUUCCUAACCCCGCAAUCAUUUUUAAGCAGCGUAUCUGCGCUAUAAAUUGGCUCGCGAUCGGCUCAGAUUUUACUUAAUGUUUCCUUUUGGUCCGGCGGUAGAAAAGUUUGCGGAAUAGUUACGUAUUUAUUUCUCUCUUUUUGUCGGCGAGAGAGACCUACACGGCGGCCAGCCCAAGCAAGUGAGCGAAGAUGGUGGAUUUCGGCUGAUCCACCUUGAAGUGAAGGAGCCCAAAAAAACUGCAACAUGGAGCUGUGUGACCGUCUUUCCCAUGAAGCAGGAGAGCAGUGAUGCUGUAAUCAGUCUGUGUAUUGUCAAAGUGCUUACAGUGCAGGUAGUACUAUGUAAUACCUACUGCAGUGGAGGCACUUACAGCAAUACCCUGACACUGAUGUGCAGUUUCUUUGAUGUUACAUGUCAUUAUGAAGUACUGUCUUUGUGCUAAGGUGCAUCUAGUGCAGAUAGUGACAUAGACUAGCACCUACUGCCCUAAGUGCUCCUUCUGGCAUAAGGGGCUGUGAUAUGCGCCACCAGACCAUUCUUAAUUUCUAAUUGGGCUCAAAUAUCUUGCAGUUCUCUGCUAGUUUUGCAUAGUUGCACUACAAGAAUAGAUGAGUUGUGCAAAUCUAUGCAAAACUGAUGGUGGCCUGCUUGCUCUCCACCUGUUUAGAUCUUUGGUUUUGGGGGUGUCACAUCAUCCACAAUCUGAUUGCCUAAUACACCCGUAACAUUGUAAAAAAACAGAUUUUUGCCAGUUCUCAUCCAGUGACCUCAAAGUUUCAGCAGUACUAAAGUGCUUAUAGUGCAGGUAGUGUUUUUCUCCUAUCUACUGCAAUGUAAGCACUUGAAGUACUUCUAACUAACUGCAUCUUUCUGAAGCUCAGAUGUCCGUAAUCACCAGGGUUGAUCUUUGAAUCAUUACUUGGUCAGUUUUGCUGGUUUGCAUUCAGCUUUAACUGAUGUUCGCUGUGCAAAUCCAUGCAAAACUGACUAGGUUGAUGAACUAUGUGCUGUCAGGUGGGAUUGUUAAAUCAGAUUAUUAUUUUUUUUUACCACAUGACAGUUUGGAUAACUGGAGCUGUCCCUUCCUGUGCAGGUGGGGAUUAGUAGCAAUGCUGUGUACCUUGAGGUAUUGCACUUGUCCCGGCCUGUGUAGGAAUGAGGAGAUGGAGCUGACCUGGACCCUGACCCCACUGUUGAUCAGAAACCUAUUAUGCUCAAGCUAUAGGUCCUGUAAUUUGAGAAGUUUGUUGUAACCAUACAAAAUGCAUGUGAGUACUGGUGGAUUGUAUGUAAUUAAAUUUAAUUGUAAUUUGUAAAUUAAAUUGGUGAUAUUCUUU